rnacentral:sRNA from 1 species
UUUUUAGCUGGUAGCAAAAUGGCAGGCAUGGAUGUAAACAUGUGCGCCGCGCCGAGAUGUUGUGGAUUGAUACUAUGCGUGUGAAUGUCGAACUAUGCAGGAGAUAUGACUCCUGUACUACUUGUGUUGUGUAGAAGAGGUGAAAGAUGCGGGGUACCCGUGUCAUGGUGUUUGAUUCCAUAUGAUGUAUGCUCCAGUGACUCAUUACAAUCAACUGCUUCAGCCCCUAAGUUGAAUUUAUCCAAUUGCAUUUAACAUGUUUUUGGCUUAUGCGUGAGACCAUCUGUAUCAAUUGGUGAAUUGGCUGGUUCUACCUCCCUAUGUUCCUGCCUGUUACCCAGCUUUUCCUAUGUGGAGACCAUCGGCAUAAUUUUGUAUGAGGAAAACAAUUAUGUGCAUUGAUAACCUCCAAACAGAAAUAUCAACAUGAUUAUAUAUGUUAAUUAUACAUAUACAAACCUAAUCUUAGUACAUGUAUUUAUAUGUUGAAUCUGAGCUAAGGAUUUUGCAACUCUUGGUGGUUUUUUUUUUAAAUUAUUAGCAAUGAUAUUUAAAACUUAAACAGUCAAAAUUAAUGUUCAUAUGCAAAUAUUAUUUAUUUAAACCAUUAUUUAUUUGUUAACAGUUUCCUGACUAUGAGUUAUUUUUUCAAUAUUCCCUUGAAAAAUGAAUAAUAAAUGUUUGAAAAUCUAUGUAUUUGUUGUUGUGAUCAACACUCAAAAUCUAGGAAUUUACAUUUUUGUUCAUGUAUUGUUGUUUGAGUAUUUGUUUAUUAAGAAGGGGGUGAGGGUAAGAGUUUUGUGCUUGUCCUUUCUUAAAAACUAACAGCAAUGUUGAGGAAUACUUUCAAAAAAAUAAACAGCAAUUUUGAA